rnacentral:rRNA from 1 species
UACAGAGGGGGGCAAGCGUUGUUCGGAAUUACUGGGCGUAAAGGGCGCGUAGGCGGCCUUCUAAGUCGAACGUGAAAUCCCCGGGCUCAACCCGGGAACUGCGUCCGAUACUGGAAGGCUUGAAUCCGGGAGAGGGAUGCGGAAUUCCGUGGUGUAGCGGUGAAAUGCGCAGAUAUCAGGAAGAACACCCGUGGCGAAGGCGGCUCUCUGGGACGGUACUGACGCUGAGACGCGAAAGCGUGGGGAGCGAACAGG